rnacentral:lncRNA from 1 species
GGAAGUAGUGACAUCAAUAACAGAAUACAGAAAACAAGAGGGACAUUCCAUCGCCCAAGAACUAUAUUGUAUGCUAGAUUAAUUUGGCCGAAAAACAAAAAUACACUUGUAUAAAUCAUUAGUUAGACCUAUAUUUUUGUAUAAAUGUGAAACAUGGAAACUCAAACCUCAAAGAAAAUAAACUGAAUACUGUACAACACCAAUAUCUAAGAAUGAUCCUAAAAAUAAGAUGGCAAUGUAAAACAUCAAACACUAACACCAGAAACGUCAGUUAUUAAAUUGGAAGGAGACGGUGGACAUGGAUAGGACACAAAUUGAGACACGAAAGAGACCAAAACAGUUAUGUAGCACUACAAUGGGCACCGGAAGGGAAAAGAACUAGAGGAAGACCAAAAACAACAUGAAGAACAACAGCGAAAGAAAGGAACCAACAAGGAUGGACAAGUUGGAUUGUAUAUCAGAACAGCGGCAAAAGAAAGAAAAGGGUGG